rnacentral:rRNA from 1 species
GUAGGUGGCAAGCGUUGUCCGGAAUUAUUGGGCGUAAAGCGCGCGCAGGCGGUUCUUUAAGUCUGAUGUGAAAGCCCACGGCUCAACCGUGGAGGGUCAUUGGAAACUGGAGAACUUGAGUACAGAAGAGGAAAGCGGAAUUCCACGUGUAGCGGUGAAAUGCGUAGAGAUGUGGAGGAACACCAGUGGCGAAGGCGGCUUUCUGGUCUGUAACUGACGCUGAGGCGCGAAAGCGUGGGGAGCAAACAGGAUUAGAUACCCUGGUAGUCCACGCCGUAAACGAUGAGUGCUAAGUGUAGGGGGUUUCCGCCCCCCUUAGUGCUGCAGCUAACGCAUUAAGCACUCCGCCUGGGAUACGGCCGCAAGGCUG